GUCGAAAACCUGCCCCUUCCUUUCGUUGCUACGGACUGCAGUGUGUAGUGUGCCAUCAGGGCUCUCAUCUGUGUAACAUGGCAGUUUAAUUUAGCCCCGAUCGGAGAGCCAGCUGCUGCUGUCACAACUAUUAAAGAAGCUAUAUGAUGUUCCUAUGUGCCGUCAUGAGUAUUAUGUCAUUGGAUCACGGGUCCUUGAUCUUGCAUGCAUUAAGGCAAGCUGAGUGAGUGCGGUUGUUUUGGUAUAGCUCCUCCCCUUACUCGCGGAGCCACGUUGCUGCUUUGAGGCUGCUUGAUUGAUUGGUUUUGUUGCUUCAGUUUGUUUUGCCUUUUACUUUGUGCUUGUUUGUGUUUUGAUUUGCUUUAUUUUGUUGUGCUUUUUGUUAUUUUGUUUUGUGUUGGUUACUGUCACUAACAUCAGUUUUCUUUAAUUCAACUGUGUUGUAACAGUCUGUAUCAAUUAUGCUGAUACUGCUAUGCGGUAGUAGUGGUUUUGGUCAGCUUUGGUAAACUUGCUACCUGCAAUCAGUUUGAGUGUGUGGUUCUCUGUGUUUUUGUUACAGUAAUUUUGUCUUUGUUUUGUUUUAUCCACUUUGUUUGUUUGCUUUGAGCUUAUUGUAAUUGAUUGUGUGUUUUCUCCUUGUAGGAGCUGAGUGCGUCCUGAGGCUUGGGGGGGGGGUUCUUUGCUGCAUCUUUGGUUUUACUUAAUUAAGGGUCGUCAUUAUUGCUGUGUUUAUUUGCAGUGAAUUUUGUGGGUCAUACAAGCCUGUAGCCUUUAGUGCUGUCGUACUAGCCUGCCCUUCAUACAGGAAGCCUCAGUCCUCCUAUGAUUAUUGUUAACUUCCUUUUGUGACUGUUUUAUUUGACCAAUGCCUGACUGUGUUGGUUGCUUCUUUUAAAAUAAUUAUUGGCCAGUCUUUUUAACUUCAAAAUAAAAUGUAUUUUUGUAUGGAAACCCAUGCCUCUUGCCUGUUCUAAGUGGCAGUGUUACGCCACGGCCAGCAGAGGGCACUGCGGUACGGCCGCUGACUGGUCACGUGACUCUUUUGUUUUCGUUCACUUCCCGCUUGGACACUGAGUUAAGUUUAUGUCUCUGAUUUGCCACAGGUGCCCAUGUUUUGAGUUAAUUAGGUUUGUUAGUUAAACCCCCCGUGUGACUGCGCACAUCGCGCAGUAUUAAAGUUGGUUCAGUUCGUCAAGUGAGGGAAGUAUCAGGUUAUAUGCUAAUGUGUAGCAUGCUAGCGGUCGUAGCUAGGGGACCAGAGUGAGUAUAGUCCGUAGAGACCGCGCUCCCUGUGUUUGUUUGUUUGUUUGUUUGUUUGUUUCUUGUUCAAAUAAUAAAGACGGUGACCUGCACCUGCAUCCGCCUCCAGUCUCGUUCCGUGACAGGCAGGUACUUGCGUGUCUUUAUUUGGGUUAUUUUCCCCGUUUUCUCGGGGUGGCGUAGUUGGUACAAAAUGAAACAAACUAGCCCUAUAGCCCACAUUGCUACACUAUCACUUGUUUAUGUUAAUG
ensembl:lncRNA